UACGUAGGGGGCUAGCGUUGUCCGGAAUCAUUGGGCGUAAAGCGUACGUAGGCGGCUUUGUAAGUUAGAGGUGAAAGCCCUGGGCUCAACCUAGGAAGUGCAUUCGAAACUGCAGGGCUAGAGUCCUGGAGAGGAAGGUGGAAUGCUUGGUGUAGAGGUGAAAUUCGUAGAUAUCAAGCGGAACACCGGUGGCGAAGGCGGCCUUCUGGACAGUGACUGACGCUGAGACGCGAAAGCGUGGGGAGCAAACAGG
rnacentral:rRNA from 1 species